CCUACGGGAGGCUGCAGUGGGGAAUUUUGCGCAAUGGGCGAAAGCCUGACGCAGUAAUGCCGCGUGAUCGAAGAAGCUUCGAGGAGUGUAAAGAUCUGUCGUUAGGGAAGAAAUAUAAUUAGUCUAACAAACUAAUUUUUUGACGGUACCUAGCAAGAAAGCCCCGGCUAACUUCGUGCCAGCAGCCGCGGUAAUACGAGGGGGGCAAGCGUUAUCCGGAUUCAUUGGGCGUAAAGGGUUCGUAGGCUGACCGAUCAGUCAAAAUUGAAAGACCUUGACUUAAUCAAGGGAACGGUUUUGAUACUGUCGGUCUUGAGUGAGGUAGAGGUGAAUAGAAUUCCUGGUGUAGCGGUGAAAUGCAUAGAUAUCAGGAGGAAUACCAAAGGCGAAGGCAGUUCACUGGACCUAUACUGACGCUGAGGAACGAAAGCGUGGGGAGC
rnacentral:rRNA from 1 species